UACGGAAGGCAGCAGUGGGGAAUAUUGCACAAUGGGCGCAAGCCUGAUGCAGCCAUGCCGCGUGUAUGAAGAAGGCCUUCGGGUUGUAAAGUACUUUCAGUCGUGAGGAAGGUGUUAAGGUUAAUAACCUUAGCAAUUGACGUUAGCGACAGAAGAAGCACCGGCUAACUCCGUGCCAGCAGCCGCGGUAAUACGGAGGGUGCGAGCGUUAAUCGGAAUUACUGGGCGUAAAGGGCACGCAGGCGGUUAAUUAAGUUGGAUGUGAAAUCCCCGGGCUUAACCUGGGAAUGGCAUUCAAGACUGGUUAGCUAGAGUCUUGUAGAGGGGGUAGAAUUCCAUGUGUAGCGGUGAAAUGCGUAGAGAUGUGGAGGAAUACCGGUGCGAAGGCGGCCCCUGGACAAAGACUGACGCUCAUGUGCGAAAGCGUGGGGAGCAAAC
rnacentral:rRNA from 1 species